rnacentral:rRNA from 1 species
AAAGCAGCCACUCAUUAAAAGAGUGCGUAAUAGCUCACUAGUCGAGAGAUCCUGCGCCGAAGAUGUCCGGGGCUAAAACUUACCACCGAAGCUACGGGAUUGCAAUAGCAAUCGGUAGAAGAGCGUCGUAAUCGGGCUGAAGUCGUACCGUAAGGAGCGGUGGACUGAUUACGAGUGAGAAUGUUGGCAUUAGUAGCGAGAUGUAGGUGAGAAUCCUACAGGCCGAAUACCUAAGGUUUCCUCAGGAAGGUUCGUCCUCUGAGGGUUAGUCGGGACCUAAGCCGAGGCCGAAAGGCGUAGGUGAUGGACAAUCGGUUGAUAUUCCGAUACCACUAUAAUCGUUAUUAUCGAUGGCGUGACGGAGAAGGAUAGAGUGUGCUAGCUAUUGGAUGCUAGUCUAAGCGUUUAGGGAGUCAGGAUAGGCAAAUCCGUUCUGAUAAUUCUGAGGCGUGAUGGGGAAGGUUCUAAGGAACCGAAGUACUUGAUUCCAUGCUUCCAAGAAAAGCGUCUAGAAAGAGAAGUAGUGCCCGUACCGUAAACCGACACAGGUAGGUGAGGAGAGAAUCCUAAGGCCGGCGGAAGAAUCACAGUUAAGGAACUAGGCAAAUUGACCCCGUAACUUCGGGAUAAGGGGUGCCUGCGCGAGCAGGUCGCAGAGAAUAGGCCCAAGCAACUGUUUAGCAAAAACACAGGUCUCUGCUAAAGCGAAAGCUGAUGUAUAGGGGCUGACGCCUGCCCGGUGCUGGAAGGUUAAGGGGAACACUUAGUGUAAGCGAAGGUGUGGACUUAAGCCCCAGUAAACGGCGGCCGUAACGAUAACGGUCCUAAGGUAGCGAAAUUCCUUGUCAGGUAAGUUCUGACCCGCACGAAUGGCGUAAUGAUUUGGGCACUGUCUCAACUGUGAAUCCGGCGAAGUUGUAGUGCGAGUGAAGAUGCUCGCUACCCGCGAUUGGACGGAAAGACCCCGUAGAGCUUUACUGUAGCUUAGCAUUGAAUUUCGGUAUUGUCUGUACAGGAUAGGUGGGAGAUUGGGAAACCAGAGCGUCAGCUUUGGCGGAGUCACCCUUGGGAUACCACCCUGAUAGUACUGAGGUUCUAACUGGAUGCCAUGAAUCUGGUGACAGGACAUUGUUAGGUGGGCAGUUUGACUGGGGCGGUCGCCUCCGAAAGUGUAACGGAGGCGCCCAAAGGUUCCCUCAGAACGGUCGGAAAUCGUUCGAAGAGUGCAAAGGCAGAAGGGAGCCUGACUGCGACACCCACAAGUGGAGCAGGGACGAAAGUCGGGCUUAGUGAUCCGGUGGUACCUCGUGGGAGGGCCAUCGCUCAACGGAUAAAAGCUACCUCGGGGAUAACAGACUGAUCUCCCCCAAGAGUCCACAUCGACGGGGAGGUUUGGCACCUCGAUGUCGGCUCGUCGCAUCCUGGGGCUGAAGUAGGUCCCAAGGGUUGGGCUGUUCGCCCAUUAAAGCGGCACGCGAGCUGGGUUCAGAACGUCGUGAGACAGUUCGGUCCCUAUCCGUCGCGGGCGUAGGAAAUUUGAGAGGAGCUGUCCUUAGUACGAGAGGACCGGGAUGGACUGACCUCUGGUGCACCAGUUGUUCCGCCAGGAGCACAGCUGGGUAGCUAAGUCGGGAAGGGAUAAACGCUGAAAGCAUCUAAGCGUGAAGCCCACCUCAAGAUAAGAUUUCCCAUAGCGUAAGCUAGUAAGACCCCUUGAAGAACACAAGGUUGAUAGGUCAGAGGUGUAAGUGUGGUAACAUAUUUAGCUGACUGAUACUAAUAGGUCGAGGGCUUGACCG